CAGGGUUGUUGAAAUCAAAUUUAGGGACUUUACUGACGGGACUCUGGGCUGGCUGCUCUGUUCACUCGUCAGCGCAAGUGGCGUGACCAUGUAAUUGGGGCACGGGGCCGGCGCGGCGCGCUGCGGGCUUGCAGAAUUUUGUUUGUUUGUUUGGCCGCACGCUGGCGCAGCCACGGGCCGCAGUUACUGGGGCGCGCUGUCGUAACAAGCCGCGCGGUGUGGCCUGCACAUUGGGGUAGAGGGGGGGUAGUCUUCCCAGAUGUUCUAGUUAGUUGUUUAGUAAAUUUGACUUCAAUAACGAGCUUUUGUUAUGGUAGGCGCGGCAGGGCGCGCGAAUUUAAGCGCAAGUGAGUGGUGACUCGGGGCUCACUCAGGCGGAGGCUAUGCGUCUCACCUGUGGUCACGAGUUGUUAGUUCGUUCGUGAUGUAGGAAUUCAAGCUUUCGGGCAGAAGCUAUGGCCGACGCCAGAGGCCACGAGUCGUUUAAUUUAAGUUAGGUCAUAAUGUAGUCAUCUUCAAGCUUUCGGGCGGAGGCAAUGGCCUUCGUCACUAGUCGUUUAGUUAUAAUUUUUAAAAUGUAAUGUUCGUUCGGAUUUUAAGGGCAGGAGAGGCCCCUACGUUAGUUUUAAGUAAUCGAUCAAGAAAGGCUUUUCGGAAAAUGUGAGUAUGGACUUAUCUUUGUUUUAAUUUUAAGUAUUAAUUAUGAUUUGAGGUAUUCGGAAGGACUAGGGAAGUGUUUAGUGAAGUUCUCUCAUUCUCUCUCUUGUAAGGUCGUUCAAUCGUUAAGGAAGUAAAGAGAUUAUUGUUUUAAAUUGUAAUCCCGCUAUUUAAAUGUUCUUUAAAAUGAUGUUGAGUAUUUGACUUUAAGAAUAAAAUAAUUUUAAUUAAGUAUUAUGUUAUUUUGCAAAAUCUCCUUAGUUCAGCUCUCACCAGACAUCCUGUACGGGAUGACGAACCUAUGAUCCUAGGUACAGUAAAGUAUUUUAUGAAGUUAAGACUAGUUGAUGCCAAGCGAGUUGUUUCUAUGUAAAGAGCUACGAUUCUCGCCCCCCCCCUCUGAAGGUGGAUCGUGACAGAAAUGGUGGAGGCGCCGGGUAGGUUCUAUUUCUGGAGAGAGAGAGAGGUAGAUUUUUAUGUUUAUUAUUAAGUUAGUUUCAGCUUCUGAUAGCAGGUUAUUAAGAGUUUACUUGAGGAGAGGAUUACGGAAUUUUAGUCUAUAGUGGAGGAAGUCUUUGAGAUUUUUUUUUUGACGUAACAGAUGUUUAUUUGAGGAUACUUGUAAGGAUAAAGUUUAUAGUGAUAAGUUGUUUUAAGUCGUUGAAUUUAUUGUAGAUUUAUAUCGGGGAUUAUUACGUGAGGAGAAUACGUUAUAAGUUAAAUGCUUAUUAGAGAUAAUGCAAGUGGUUUAAUUUAAUUGAAGUUCAUUUUAAGAUUGUAGGUUAAGAGAAUUAUAAUUUAAAAUAAAGUUUUUUGUCGUAAAUAGGAAUUAUUUUCAAGUGAAGUUUGUUUUGUUUUCGUGCGCGUAGGAGACGAGACGUACGAAUUAAAUCAGUCGAGGGAAGGAUAAACGUUAGAAAGGAAUUAAAGAGAAAACGAGAGUUUAUGUAAAAGAGAGUUAUAGAAUUUAUAGUGAUGUUUUGUUUUAAUUAGAAAAAUGUUGAGAGUUGUUUCAGAACGACACGUCAGUGGACGUGGCAGAGUGAACACGUGACGGGGAGGUGCUGAGACCUAGCGGAGAACGGAGGAACCGCAAGCGAGGGUUGGCGCACCUGAUGGAAUUCGGUGACGUCACGGGCUCAUACGGAGACGUGGACAGGCCGUGACCUUGUUUUGAUCAGCUGUACGGUAACUUAGCGAUAAGAAAAUAGACUAUUGGUUAAAUAAAUUUAAAUUUAAGUGUGUUUUAGGAGAAGAGGAACUUUCAGUAUAUUCCUUAAGAUGAGCUGAGCAGCAGUCCAGUUUACAAGAUGACAAGAGUUCGAGAGACAAGAUACAAGAUCACUGAAACAAGAGCCAAGACUGAAGAUUCAAGAGAAGAGAAAGCUGGCAGCCAUGGACUUACAAGUGGAGAUUAAUAAGGUCAUGUAAAGUUUUAUUUUUUUUUAUGGAAGACAGUAACUGGAGUUUUUUUUUGUUAUAAACAUUAUUUACAGAACUUUUUAGGUUAUAGUAAUGUGAUGGAACUAGUGAGUUGUGGUAGCUGUCAAAAAGAACUAAUACCUUAAGUUUAAUUUUUAAAGUUAAUUUUCUUAAUUUACAGAGGGAUUAGUAGUUUUUUUUAAACCUUAUUUAGGUUGGAAUUUCAAUACAAUAGCUUAUUAUAAAUGUGUACGAACAGUUCAAGUUCACCGUACUGAUAGGUAGGUCAGAUGAUCUUAUUGAUUUUGAUGAUUUGUUGUUUUGAGUUGAUUUUUAGGUGUUGUGAAUUAGACAAUGAAAUAGUUUUGAAAACUUAAAUUAUUUCAAGCUAAGAAAUAGUAAAUUUAAUUGUAACUCAAAGGACACCAGAAUUUAAUUUUUUUUUUGAAUUAGUAAUGUUUGAAAAUUUUAUACUUUACCAGAAAGGUUAUAAACAAACAGAUCGGAUGGAACAAGGAUGCAGUAAAUCACAAUUUCAUUUAGAAUUAUUGAUUAGCUUUUGAGGUUAUGAAGUAAAAGUAAUUAUAGUUUAAAAGUUUGAAUAAAAAAAAAUGUUUUUUUUUAUUUGUUUGAAAUAGAAAGUUUAAAAGUUAAUUAGUCAUGAUCUAGGUGGGUGAUGGGGUGGGAAUUGGCCACUCUUUUUCCCUAUAACCUCCCUAACAUGGCCUUCUAUUACAACUAACAGAAGAAAAAAAAAAGAAGAAAAA